UACGGAGGGUGCAAGCGUUGCUCGGAAUUAUUGGGCGUAAAGGGUAGGUAGGUGGUCUCAUUUGUCUGGGGUGAAAGCCUUGAGCUUAACUCAAGAAGUGCCCCAGAAACGGUGAGACUAGAGUCCUGGAGAGGGUCGUGGAAUUCCCGGUGUAGCGGUGAAAUGCGUAGAGAUCGGGAGGAACACCAGUGGCGAAGGCGGCUUCCUGGACACCAACUGACGCUGAGACGCGAAAGCGUGGGGAGCAAACAGG
rnacentral:rRNA from 1 species